AGCAGCCGCAGUAAUUCCAGCUCCAAUAGCGUAUAUUAAAGUUGUUGCAGUUAAAAAGCUCGUAGUUGAACUUCGGAAUCAGUACGCCUGUCAUGCUUCGGUAUGUACUAGUGUCACUGAUUCCUUCCUUCUGACGAACCGUCAUGCCAUUAAUUUAGUGUGAUGUGGAAUCAGGACUGUUACUUUGAAAAAAUUGAGUGUUUAAAGAAGGCUCGCGCUUGAAUACAUUAGCAUGGAAUAAUGAAAUAGGACGUUUGAUCUUAUUUUGUUGGUUUCUAGGAUCGAUGUAAUGAUUAAUAGGGAUAGUUGGGGGCAUUAGUAUUCAAUUGUCAGAGGUGAAAUUCUUGGAUUUAUUGAAGACUAACUACUGCGAAAGCAUUUG
rnacentral:rRNA from 1 species